GCCUCGAUGAUCUUCGGUGGUCCGGAGUGCGGGCUUCAAACCCGUAGCCGAUGAGAGUCGGAGUGGUUCAAUUCCACCUUUGGGGCG